CACAAGCGUGGAGUAUGUGGUUAAUUCGAUGCAACGCGAAGAACCUUACCUGGUCUUGACAUCCCGGAGACCCUUAGGAAACUAGGGGGUGCUUCCAUCUGGAAGAAUCUGGAGACAGGUGCUGCAUGGCUGUCGUCAGCUCGUGUCGUGAGAUGUUGGGUUAAGUCCCGCAACGAGCGCAACCCUUGCCUUUAGUUGCCAGCAGUUCGGCUGGGCACUCUAAAGGGACUGCCGGUGUUAAACCGGAGGAAGGUGGGGAUGACGUCAAGUCCUCAUGGCCUUUAUGACCAGGGCUACACACGUACUACAAUGGCCGAUACAAAGGGCAGCGACACUGCGAGGUGAAGCCAAUCCCGUAAAAUCGGUCUCAGUCCGGAUUGGAGUCUGCAACUCGACUCCAUGAAGUUGGAAUCGCUAGUAAUCGUGGAUCAGCAUGCCACGGUGAAUACGUUCCCGGGCCUU
rnacentral:rRNA from 1 species